GGUCCGAUGCCACGUUGCCGGUAGCAAAAUGAAGCUAUGACCGACGAUGCUAUGAUUGGACCAAUAACAGGUUUUUAUUAACAUUUUGUAUUUUGAUAGGAAUCUGUGGAUGGAUCUUCAAUUCUUCCAUGGAGCCGUUUCGUGCGACUU